rnacentral:rRNA from 1 species
UGAGGAAUAUUGGACAAUGGGUGAGAACCUGAUCCAGCCAUGCCGCGUGCAGGAAGACGGCCCUAUGGGUUGUAAACUGCUUUUGUAUGGGAGCAAUAAGCUCUACGCGUAGAGUGAUGAGAGUACCAUACGAAUAAGCAUCGGCUAACUCCGUGCCAGCAGCCGCGGUAAUACGUAGGGAGCGAGCGUUGUCCGGAAUUACUGGGUGUAAAGGGAGCGUAGGCGGGAAGGCAAGUUGGGUGUGAAAUCUAUCGGCUCAACCGGUAGUUGCACUCAAAACUGCUUUUCUUGAGUUAAGUAGAGGCAGGCGGAAUUCCUAGUGUAGCGGUGAAAUGCGUAGAUAUUAGGAGGAACACUCGUGGCGAAGGCGGGUUCCUGGACAUUAACUGACGCUGAGGUACGAAGGCCAGGGUAGCGAAAG